rnacentral:rRNA from 1 species
UACGAAGGGGGCUAGCGUUGCUCGGAAUCACUGGGCGUAAAGCGCACGUAGGCGGGUCUUAAGUCGGGGGUGAAAUCCUGGAGCUCAACUCCAGAACUGCCUUCGAUACUGAGGAUCUCGAGUCCGGGAGAGGUGAGUGGAACUCCGAGUGUAGAGGUGAAAUUCGUAGAUAUUCGGAAGAACACCAGUGGCGAAGGGCGGCUCACUGGCCCGGUACUGACGCUGAGGUGCGAAAGCGUGGGGAGCAAACAG